rnacentral:rRNA from 1 species
GGGCACAGUCACAGCAUUUAGGCUGCCUGUCACUGAUUUUGCAUGUCACAAGCAACCAUGGGCGUUGUGAGUACUUGGAUGGGAGACCACCCAGGAAUAUCAAGUGCUGUAGACU